AACGAACGCUGGCGGCAGGCCUAACACAUGCAAGUCGAGCGGGGACUUCGGUCCUAGCGGCGGACGGGUGAGUAACGCGUGGGAACGUGCCCUUUGCUUCGGAAUAGCCCCUGGAAACGGGGAGUAAUACCGGAUGUGCCCUAUGGGGGAAGAAUUUCGGCAAAGGAUCGGCCCGCGUUGGAUUAGGUAGUUGGUGGGGUAAUGGCCUACCAAGCCGACGAUCCAUAGCUGGUUUGAGAGGAUGAUCAGCCACACUGGGACUGAGACACGGCCCAGACUCCUACGGGAGGCAGCAGUGGGGAAUCUUAGACAAUGGGCGCAAGCCUGAUCUAGCCAUGCCGCGUGAGCGAUGAAGGCCUUAGGGUUGUAAAGCUCUUUCGUGGGGGGAAGAUAAUGACGGUACCCCAAGAAGAAGCCCCGGCUAACUCCGUGCCAGCAGCCGCGGUAAU
rnacentral:rRNA from 1 species